AAGUGAUUGACAAAUGGCAAAACCGCCAACAACCGUCCACCAGUCAUGCUUUUUCUGCCUAUGACCACUCACUCGCGCGCAUGGAGCGUGGCCCGUGGCGACAUUCAAAAAUCAAAAGAGUUCCCUGGACUCACCUUCCCAACUCAUCGUAAAGCAACAACCAAACACACUCCUCUUCACCUCUCCGCCAAACUCGAUCUCCGGCCAUGUCGUCGGGCGAGGUUCGUGAUGAUUCCAAACUGAUAGAAUUGAAGGAUGAAUCCGAUUUCGAAAAAGUUCUCUCUCCCGACGGUGGUCUUGAUCUUCUCUCCGUCUGCGGCUUCGGUUCUCUGCUCUCAGAGAGAAGUGCGAGGAGCACAUUUCCGGAUCUGAUCAACUUCAGAGUUGCGAGAUUGAACGGCUUUCGACGUGUCUUCGCUCAUGUUGCUCCAAUUUUUUUUGAGCGCGGCAUCGCCAAACCAGAAACCAUGGAGAUUUCAAGCUUGAGUGUGGAGCCUUGUGAAGGGGAAACCCUUAUAGUUACUGUAUUUGAGAUUCAAAGAUCUGAGAUUCCAUCUUUUAUCAAGAGGGAGCAUGAGUUUCGAUUCUUAGCUGUCUUCCCUGAAACAUUAGACGGGAAGCUCUUUACUACUCCAGCGGUACUUUGUGCUCGUUACAGUGAUGAGGAAUUUUUCCAGAAUAGAUGCAAAGGAAGUAAGGAGAUAUAUUUUCAGCAAUAUGGCCGCCAUAACAUCCAUAAGAUUUGGCGAGAUGAUGUUUUACCUUGCCGUGUUUAUCUUCGACACUGUGUGUUGGCUGCAAAGAAUCUAAGUGACGCAGCUUACAACAAUUUUCUAGAUCACACUUACCUGGCGGACCGUAAAACAACCAUCCGUGAAUACUUGGCCACAACAGGUUCAGGCAUCAUGGAAGAGGAGCCUCCGGAAUCCCUCAGGGCUCGCUAUGGUGGUUGAUUUUAACCAGUCCACUAAAUUUGGUAUGGGAAUAUGAUACCAACUUUCUGUUACUUUCUGAAGUUUUGUUUCAAAUUGACCUUUUUGGUCAUUAAAAUAUUACUAUUUUGGUCCUCUUCUCUCUGGCAUCUCAAACUAUUGUUCAAAAUGGCCCCUUUACCAUAUAUUUUAUUUUUGUUUUUUCUUUUUAAAUUUAUUUCAAACUGCAUCUCGAAAUUACAUUUUAUUACAAAUUUAAAAACCAUGUCUUGAAAGUAUGAUUUUAAUAUGCAUUUAGAAACACUUUAAUACAGCAAUUUCUAAUUCAUAUGGAAGCCUAAAAUACGGUUUCAAACUAAUUUAAAAAAAAAAAUAUUUUGGACAAUAGUUUCAAAAGAUGCUAUAAGUUAUAUCAUGCACGUAAAAUGGGCCAAUUGACCCCAAAUUCUACUUUUGGCUUAUUGUCAACAUUCAGCAUGGGAAUUUGAAAGAAAGGAAGCUUUCCCGUGACUCUUUUUUUUCCUUCUAGUUGGUUGAAUGGUGAGUUGGGAGUGAAUCGUGAAUCUUCUAAUAUGUCUUGCCCUUGCCUCCAGGUGGGAGAUACUGUAUACCAUAGGAGGAAGACACAGUAAAUUGGCUCUACUAGUAUCAAAUUAAUCUCCUUGAAAUGGAUCUGCAAAACACACCCGCCAUUAGUUGAAUCAUUUUAGUUUGUAUCAUUUAAUGCGAAUGAUAUUUAAGUUUAGAAUAAUUGAAACAUGCUGCAAAACACACUCGAGCAAGAAUUUGCCCGAGUUGGAUUCUCUCUUUUUUUCUUUCUCUGAUUGACAUGCAGCCUCAAGAAACAGUUGAAUUCUACAAUUGGAUUCAACAGUCGGUAAGAAUCGUGCCUUGUCAAUAUCCACACUUUGACAUGAUCAAACAUACACUGACGAUCAAAUUUUUUUCUAUUGAUAUCCUGUAAUCCCUUUUCAAGCUGGUAAAAAAAUAAGUGGAGUCUACAAUGAAUCAUCGAAGACAAAACCUGUUUGUUUUUCUCAAACACUGGGGCAUAAAAUGAUCUUUAAUCAUUGUCCUUGAGAGCCGGAGCUUACUGUACAGAUUCCUAGGUGUCUCAUAAAUAGCAACAUGUUCUUCAGCAGGGCCAGCGCCAGUGUCAUUGUCAACUGAAUCAUUGUCAUUUGAUGGGGGCAUAGAAAUAAUAUGCAUAAUCCUGCCAGGUGGAUAGAAGUGCAGGCUCUCCGAAACAUCAGAGGAGUUGGGCGUUUUGCUCUCGACUGCAUCAGCCAACAUGUUCUCCUCUUCAGUGAUUUCCAUAACUGCAGCCGCUUCUUCCUCCUGAGCCUGAACAUCGGGUUCAUCCUCCUGCCUCUGGAGCUCCUUCUCCAGUUCAUACCACAGCUCACCAUCGGUGAUGUCUUCUGUGGUGGCUGUGGUAACUUCUCUAUCACCUGGGAGGAGUGUUACCUCUUCAUCUGUGUCGUCAUUGCCUGAUCCACCACUGGAAGAGCUGCAUUCCGCUUUAUUUACAACUGAGACUCUCGUUCCCACUUCAGUCACAAGGGAUUCAGAUGUUACCUCAGAAGAUAUUAGAGAAGCCUCAGGCAAAUCCUCUUCUUUAGGGCUUGGUAGUGAGCCCACAUUGCGGCGACGUGCACCCAUGCAAGACCAUGAUGACAGAGAUGAGCGGGUCCUGACAACCGCCUCAGUGACAUUCUGUGUCACAACCUGCAAUUUGCCAAAAAAAUACUCAGGUCAUGUUAAAGAGAGACAAGAUGACCAAGAAAUUAAACAGAUAAAGGUGCAUGUUAGGUAUUUUUAGACUCAGACAAAAAAAUAAAAAAUGAGUCAUGUGCAGUUCAUCAAUAAAUGCUUGUGCAGUUCAGACACCAGAAUUCAGACAGUUCAAUGAUCUACUGUAGCUGCGCAUGGUGCUCAUAGAGUUGCAAUAAAUUUUAAUCCACUAUUGAAUAUUGACAA